rnacentral:rRNA from 1 species
UUUCAUUAUUGUUAAAAUUGAUUUUUAAAUUCUACUAAGGUAUUAAGAAUUAUAAAUUAUUUAUUUUGUUUAAAACUUAAAAGAUUUGGCGGUUUCACAUAUCCAUUUAGGGGAGCUUGUUAAUAUAAUAUGAUAUUCCUCGAUUUAAACUUACUUUUUUUUGAAAUGAAUCAGUUUGUGUAUUGCUGUCGUUAGUUUAUGUUUUAAGAAUUAUAUAAAAAACUUUAAAAUUAAUGAGUUUUUAUGUCAAGUCAAAAUGCAGCUAAUAAAAAAGGUUUAAUGAGCUACUUUUUAUAAAUUUAAUUUCCGGUUUUAGAGAUUUUAUUUUUUUAAUAAGGCGGACUUAAUAGUAAUAUGUAAAUUAGUUAGUUUAUAUGAAUAUACUGGUUUUGUGUUGCG